rnacentral:rRNA from 1 species
GACGAACGCUGGAGGCGUGCUUAACACAUGCAAGUCGAACGAUGAAAUGGAGCUUGCUCCAUGGAUUAGUGGCGAACGGGUGAGUAACACGUGAAUAACCUGCCCUUAAUUUUGGAAUAACCCAGGGAAACCUGGGCUAAUACCGGAUAAGUAAACCUGUGGCAUCACAUGGUUUUGGAAAGUUUUUCGAUUAAGGAUGGAUUCGCGGCCUAUCAGCUUGUUGGUGAGGUAAUGGCUCACCAAGGCGACGACGGGUAGCCGGCCUGAGAGGGUGAACGGACACACUGGGACUGAGACACGGCCCAGACUCCUACGGGAGGCAGCAGUGGGGAAUAUUGCGCAAUAGACGAAAGUCUGACGCAGCGACGCCUCGUGAGGGACGAAGGUCUUCGGAUUGUAAACCUCUUUCAGCAGGGACGAAGCGAAAGUGACGGUACCUGCAGAAGAAGCACCGGCUAACUAUGUGCCAGCCGCCGCAGUAA